AGAGUUUGAUCCUGGCUCAGAUUGAACGCUGGCGGUAUGCUUAACACAUGCAAGUCGAACGGAAACGAAACUAGCUUGCUAGUAGGCGUCGAGUGGCGGACGGGUGAGUAACGCGUAGGAAUCUGCCUGAUAGUGGGGGAUAGCCCGAAGAAAUUCGGAUUAAUACCGCAUAAUCUAUUCGUAGUAAAGUGGGGGACUUUCGAGCCUCACGCUAUCAGAUGAGCCUGCGUAAGAUUAGCUUGUUGGUAGGGUAAAAGCCUACCAAGGCUACGAUCUUUAGCUGGUCUGAGAGGAUGAUCAGCCACAUCGGGACUGAGACACGGCCCGAACUCCUACGGGAGGCAGCAGUGGGGAAUAUUGGACAAUGGGGGCAACCCUGAUCCAGCAAUACCGCGUGUGUGAAGAAGGCCUGAGGGUUGUAAAGCACUUUCAAUUGUGAAGAAAAGUUAACGGUUAAUAACCGUUGACCUUGACGUUAACUUUAGAAGAAGCACCGGCUAACUCCGUGCCAGCAGCCGCGGUAAUACGGAGGGUGCAAGCGUUAAUCGGAAUUACUGGGCGUAAAGCGUGCGUAGGCGGUUUAUUAAGUCAGAUGUGAAAGCCCCGGGCUUAACCUGGGAACUGCAUUUGAAACUGGUCAACUAGAGUAUGGUAGAGGAAAGUGGAAUUUCUGGUGUAGCGGUGAAAUGCGUAGAUAUCAGAAGGAACAUCAAUGGCGAAGGCAGCUUUCUGGACCAAUACUGACGCUGAGGUACGAAAGCGUGGGUAGCAAACAGGAUUAGAUACCCUGGUAGUCCACGCCGUAAACGAUGAUAACUAGCCGUUGGGGGGAUUUACCCCUUAGUGGCGAAGCUAACGCGUUAAGUUAUCCGCCUGGGGAGUACGGCCGCAAGGCUAAAACUCAAAGGAAUUGACGGGGACCCGCACAAGCGGUGGAGCAUGUGGUUUAAUUCGAUGCAACGCGAAGAACCUUACCUGGUCUUGACAUCCUGCGAACUUUCUAGAAAUAGAUUGGUGCCUUCGGGAACGCAGUGACAGGUGCUGCAUGGCUGUCGUCAGCUCGUGUCGUGAGAUGUUGGGUUAAGUCCCGUAACGAGCGCAACCCCUAUCCUUAUUUGCCAGCACAUUAUGGUGGGAACUAUAAGGAGACUGCCGGUGAUAAACCGGAGGAAGGCGGGGACGACGUCAAGUCAUCAUGGCCCUUACGACCAGGGCUACACACGUGCUACAAUGGGAAGGACAAAGAGCCGCGAAGCCGCGAGGUGUAGCUAAUCUCAUAAAUCUUUUCGUAGUCCGGAUUGGAGUCUGCAACUCGACUCCAUGAAGUCGGAAUCGCUAGUAAUCGUAGAUCAGAAUGCUACGGUGAAUACGUUCCCGGGUCUUGUACACACCGCCCGUCAUACCAUGGGAGUGGGUUGCACCAGAAGUGACUAGUCUAACUUUGUGAGGACGGUCACCACGGUGUGAUUCAUGACUGGGGUAAAGUCGUAACAAGGUAACC
rnacentral:rRNA from 1 species